rnacentral:siRNA from 1 species
UUCACCACACCUACAUAUCAUCAC